rnacentral:lncRNA from 1 species
UUCCCAGAAAAAUGGUGAAUGGAUGCUGAGAAGUAAAAAGUAUUACUUUGAGUAACACUUUUUAUCUAGUAACAUAUGCUAUACAAAACUGUAGUAUUUUAAAAUGCCUUACUAAUACUCAGAAGUUGAGAACCACUGUCCAACGGGUUGAUUUGAUAUAUUUGUUGUUACAGUUGAUCUCCCAUCUAUGUCUUACCAUCCCCACCCACACCUUUUAAUAUUGUCUACAAAUGUCUAUAACAAUAUUUAAUCUAUUUUUCAAGAUUAUUCAAAUUACUGUCAGCUGUUCCAUGAUCACGUCUGCAAAGUUUUUUUACAAGACAUUGCAGUUUAUCUUGACAUUUGAAUUCUGCCAUGAUAAGCUUCAAUUUCAUCUUUAAAAUAUACAU